rnacentral:misc_RNA from 1 species
AUGACAUUUCUAUUCUCAAUUUCUGUUCUUUGAGCUCGUUGUUUGCGACGUUUGCUUCUAACGGGUACCGGAUUGUUAUCGAGUCAUUAUUUUUGCGCCACCAGUCGUGCAAGUGUCCGGUUAGUCUCCAGUGCAGUGUUUUGUGUCGCAUUACCUAGAAAUGUCGCGAUUAGGGUCUUACGUUUUGUGUGUAGUGCUAUGCAGCCUUGCAACUCUAGGUCAAGGUGACAUCACGACGCAGAAGUCCGUGACUAUCAUCAUUCCCAAAAAUCGUUCGACAACCCUAGCACCAGCAACAACGGAGGUACCAAUAACAAGUGAAAAUCCAAAUACAACAUCAACAACGGAGAAACCUACAACAACGGAGAAACCUACAACAACGGAGAAACCUACAACAACGGAGAAACCUACAACAACGGAGAAACCUACAACAACGGAGAAACCUACAACAACAGAGAAACCAACAACAACAGAGAAACCAACAACAACUCCAGCCCCUCCGGCACCCACUCCCAAGCCCACUCCCCCUGGGCCUCUGCCACCACCGGAGCAGGGCACAUGGUCUUACACGGAGAACAACAUAACUUGCAUCGUUGUUCAGUUUGCAGCUCAAUUAAAUGUCACAUACACUAAGGUUGUGGAUAACUCGACAUCCCUCGCGAACGUCCUCCUCAACAUCCCUGCGAAUGCCACAGUCUCCGGCGGCAACUGCUCUGCCAACAGCAGCCAGCAGUGGCUGCAGCUGAGCUGGCCAGUCGCGGCCGCCGUCAACAACCUCACGCUGGUCUUCCUCAGGAACGAGACCACCAACAACUACGCGCUGCAGAACCUUAACGUCUCCCUGGACAAGGCGCUCUUCCCUAAUGCUUCAUCAUCCAACCCGAUCGAGCUGUCGCACGGCGUGGAAUGGCAGACGCCUCUAGCUACCUCGUACCGCUGCGCAGCGCCCACCCGCCUCAACAUGACUGCGGAGUCAGCCAGCGUGGUCGCUGCGUUGACCCUCUCCCGACUGCAGGAGGAGGCCUUCCGCACCAGCCCCGGAAAAGGAUUCAGUGCCGCUCGCGAGUGCGGCGGCGGUGACGUCCCGGAUGCAGUGCCGAUCGCGGUGGGGUGUGCCCUGGGCGGGCUGGUGGUGGUGGUGCUGGUGGCCUACCUGGUCGGCCGCCGCCGCAGCGCCGCGCGCGGGUACCUCUCCAUGUGAGCGGUGAGCGCACAUCGGAGUGACGGGAGUAGUGAAUAUAACAAAGUAACAUAGACACAGGUAUCAGUAAAUUUAGCUCCAUAGCCCCUCUAGCGACCAUGUUAUAUUCAUUCACAUUUGACAGAUGGUAGGAAAUGGUAGAAAAUGUCAACCACUUUGACAGCUCUGUUUACGUCGUCGACAUUAACGCCCGUAUUCUGAGAUGUUAACUCGAAUCCUCUUCGACUCCGUCCUCAGUUGAGGCCUUAAGACCUCGAAGUCAGCUCAAAAUCAAUAUUCCUAGACGGCACCUUACCUCGACUACUUCGUCGAGGUUGAGUGAGUGCAUGCCGUCAUUAUUUUCGUAUGUUGGCACUAUGGUAUACUCGAUUCCAGUAAGAAAAGUCCUCAAGGUGAGGAGGUAAAUGCCAAUUUAAAAUACUAAAAUGCUCGGCUGAGGCCGAGUCGAGGAAGAAUUGAGGAGUACGGGUGUUAAUUUGAAAGAGUGACGUAUGGAAGUACCCCAACAGAAAUGAUACUUGUUUUUCUACCAUAAAUAAUUAUGUAUUGCUCAACUUUUUAAUAUUUUGGCGGUAUGUGCAGGUGGAUUAACCGGAAUUUUUAGACUAUGGUCUUUAUUUAUUUUUUAUGUUUAAUUUCGUUGUGUAUUCUUUUUACAAAAUUAUUAGUUUAAAAUAAAAUAUGUGUAUAAUUUGGAAGUGUCGUAAAUAAAAUUAAAAUCUAUCGAUUUGUAAUUGUCAAUUAUUGAAGAUUAAUAUUUAUAUUCAGCCUAUCUCCGUCGAAUCAACCGGAGGGGAUAUGCUCCACCACGCUGCUCCAUUGCGGGUUGGCGGAGAUGUUUUACGGGUAGCCGUAAAACUACUAGCCGGGACCAACGGCUUAACGUGCAUUCCGAAGCACGGAUUUAUAAAUGACGUAGUAAAAUUCCGGUUACUUUGUCCAGUAUAUUUUGAGGAGGGUAAUUUUAAGGAGUUUGUUAAAAUAAAAUGGCGAUAAUAAAAUCCCUCACGUCAUGAUUUCACUAAACUAUGUAAAACUAUACGAUUGUACCUAAUCAUAAUAAUAUUACACUAUUGGAUUUAAUUCAUCUUGUAUAAUUAAUUAUUGUAGGUAGGGAAAAAACUGUAAUUUCUUUGCUACCCUGCAUAGUUUGAUUUUAUCCUAGCGAUUUUUUUUAUAUCGGCCAUAAUAGAGAUGUAGAUUUUUUAUAUGUAUAAUUAUGUGUGUAUUUUACAAUUUAUUCCUCAUUUUAUUCUCUGGUCGCCAAACAAAGAGAUUGCAGCAAAAAGUCUUAAAGCCAAUAAAAUAUUUUCGUUCCUGGCAACACUUUUUAUUUGGCAUCCGGCGAAAUUUUGAAUUUCAUUCGAUUUUUGAUUUGGUUCUCGGCAUUUUAUUUCUUAAAAUGGUGCAGUUUUAAUAUAAAACGAGGAAAAUAUAUAUUAAUGUGAUGUUUGAAUUGUAGACGUAAUGCGGGUGGGUAGGCAAAUAAAUUCUCUGGAAGAACACUUUGAAAUUGGAUUUUUUUUCUUUACUUUAAUGGUUGUCCUUUAGCGGUUAUUACAUUUGCCAGUCCAUCCUGCCCGAUACGUCAAAGUCACGGGCGCUGCGAUCAGGAUCUUGUGGUAAACUGGUGGGACGUUACCAUGGUAACCACGAUCUCGAGCGAGUUUGGGGCGUAACCAUGGCAACCACAACAUCGAGCUCUAAUAGCGUCGAUUUUUCCGAUCUCGAUGUGACCUUGGGGGUUAAAAAGGCCACAUUGAAGGACGGAAAAGCAAUAUUGCUAUUUGACAUUCGUUUGCAUUGCGCACUUUUAUAUGCGCAAAUGACAAAUUGCAAUAUUUUUUUUUUGAUGAAUUGCUUCGAUGUCUUUUUGGCCCCUUGACGCAUCGGUCUAAGUGGAUUAGCUAGUGUAAUCACCGCUUAUCAAGUGUAGUAUAUUCAUUCAAUCCCUGGUUUGUCAAAACACCAUUAACAUUUUGCAAUGUUUCUUAUAUAGAUCUGGUUAAUACAGAACCAGAGUUGGCAACAUCAAUUGAUAAUUUUUACGUAUCUUUCCAAUCUGUUUUAAUUUUAAUACAUUCAUUUUUUUAAUCCAAAGAAUCAUCAAUUAUUAUUUUGUAUCCCAUUUCAGUUAUAUGUAAUGUAUAGCGAAAUGUUAUAAUUAAUUAACGCGUUAUUUUAUACUUGAAAGUCCAUAAUAAGAUUAAAAAAUAAAAUUAAAGACACUAUCACUUUUUAUUAUUAGUUAGAUGGUUAAUGCAGUGUCUUUUAUAGGUUUAGUAUUGCAAAAUAUUCUUUGUUUAAGUGUAAAAUAUGGUUACUGGGUAUAACCAUAGGCUGAAUAAUCUUCUAGAUAUCUGAUAUACUGAUCCCUUAGGCGGUUAGGCGUUGCGUACUCCAUAAUAUUCAUCCAUAUGGAUUCAAUAACUCUUGGAGCCUUAUUUUUGAAUCGCACGCCUUCAACUCACGUGCGAAAAUGUAUACCUGUCUCAUCUUGCAAAUGACAAAUUCUCAUUUGCUACGUGAAAUUGGUAUAUAUUUUCGAAUGUGACUUUAGUUCUGAUUCUGUCAGACAAAAUUUAAUUUUAGUUAUAUUUGCUCUAAAAUAGUGACAAUAGUUUUAAAACUGUCACAAUGAAAUAAACAAUUAGUGUCUAUCGGAAUUGGGACUAUUAUUGCAUGAAACUGUCGCGUACGCUGCACGUACAGUCGUGAGCAAUAUCAUGUACCCACUUUAGAACCCUGUCGCACUAUCAUAUUUGACAUUUAAUGAGACUUACGGUUUAAUUUGUCAAAAAAGUUAAUGUGACAUGGGUUCAAAGUACAUAGUAGUACUCGUGACCGUACGGUAUAGUUCCGGCGAUUUCUUUCUAAUAAAAAAACAUUGUACCAUAAAAAGUAUUAAAAGUAAAGCGUUCAAGGUUAUUCAGUUUAUAGCAGAUUCACUGUUGGGUUCCUGUGCUUUUGUGUAGAGCAAUGAUUUUGUAAAUUGUAUUUGCUAUUCGAUGUUAGAAGUGAAAAAGUGGCAUUUUAACAGUUACUUUAAAGCACAGCAACUUGUUGAAAAUUAGACUACUGCCCUUUACAGACCCUUUGAUUAUAAUAGGUUAGACGCAUAAUGCCCAAUGGUAAUUUAUACGUUCAGGACAAUUUGCGAAUAUGAAGUUUUGCGAAUGGGACAUUCUGCGUCAAUACCAUUAUAAUAUUAGAGAAUACCGUCUGUUAUCGGCUGGUAAUUUCAUUUAUGGUAGACAAAAUGUGUCCAUGAUAGCAGUUGUAAUAUUAGACAGUCUAGAAUAACAGCAGUGAAUCACUCAGUAAAUUAGAGUUUUAUUUUUCUAUGCUACUUCUUUACGACUCCACGUGGACUUCAGAAAAACUUCCAUCCCCUUGUUUAACCCUUUAGGGGAUGAAUUUCACAAAUCCCUUAGAGCCCACUUAUGUUACCGCAAAAUAAAAAAUACUUCUACGCCCAUGAGUUUCAGCUGUACAUUGGUCGGUCAGUCAGACAGUCACUUCCCCUAUGCAAUGCCCACUCAAACUCAAAAAUAGCAUUAUUCAUUAGUGUUGGCAAUUUCAAAAAAGGAACGUCACGUCUCUUAAGAAAAAAAAAACGUUUUGGCAGGAUAUUCGUCGGGAAGUUCGAAGGAAAAGAAGGUCGAGAUUCUUUUCUUGAAAUUGCCUCCAUUAGUUUAUUAAUACCACCCUUUGAAUCGUCAAUUUUUACAAAGAUAUAUUUUUUGUCGAACGUCUCAUCCACCUAAAACGGACUGCAGCUUCUCACAACCUGUAUAGCCUAUGUCUCUGCAAGAAAAACCUCGGCAAAGGACCGAAAAAAAGGAAAUAAUGAAAAGGAGGUUCUUAAAAAAAGAAACACUGCCUCCCAGGGGAGGCAUCACAUAGACACUCCCAGGGGAUCCUGAUAAAUACGAUGAUUCUGUUCUUAUUUGUACUAAUGAAGUCGUAAAGUAGUCGCUUUAGGAAAGUAAGAUUUCAAUAAGGAAGGUUAAGGUAGGAGGUUCCCAAUUGGGUAAUUGUCCACAACCUUCCCCCUAACUGACUAGAAGCACUUUUAUUGUUAAUUUCAACGUAAGUAAAUUUCAUUUCAUUUAAAAAAUCCUAAAAUUUAAACAAAAACAAACUACUGGUACAGUCAGAUAAUAAAAGCUAUGUAACCCAUUUUUUCUUUGAGAUUAUACAAAGUAUAGUCCACCAAAUUUAUCAUUCAGCUCUUAUCGCUAUCGGCCCACUAGGGUCGAUUAUUUUUUUCAAAUAUAAUCUUUUCAGACGACACCCUAGGCCGAGGUUCGCGCCCAACUUGGCACCGUCAGGCCUGUUGUCUUCAAUUGUGUACCGGGUGAGAGCCCUUAGCGCUCUCCAUUUGUCCGGCUAAUUAAUGGCAUUUGCGGUUAAUCUACAAUAAGUAACACCAAGGAAAGGUGUAAAAAUCGUGAUAUUAUUAGAAUGACAGCAAGACAAAGAUAUACACCACCCAGCGUGAAAGAGACGGGAGAUUAUCUCUUUCGCACUAACAUUAUACAGCUUAGUGAAGCGACAAAAGAUAAUGUCAAUACAAUGAAGUUAUGUA